rnacentral:rRNA from 1 species
AGCCUGACGCAGCANCGCCGCGUGAGGGACUAAGGCCUUCGCGGUUGUAAACCUCUUUCCAGCAGGGACGAUGAUGACGGUACCUGCAGAAGAAGCUCCGGCCAACUACGUGCCAACAGCCGCGGUAAUACGUAGGGAGCGAGCGUUGUCCGGAUUCAUUGGGCGUAAAGAGCUCGUAGGCGGCUUGACAAGUCGGAUGUGAAACCUCCAGGCUCAACCUGGAGCCGCCAUCCGAUACUGUCAUGGCUAGAGUCCGGUAGGGGCCCACGGAAUUCCUGGUGUAGCGGUGAAAUGCGCAGAUAUCAGGAGGAACACCGGUGGCGAAGGCGGUGGGCUGGGCCGGAACUGACGCUGAAGAGCGAAAGCGUGGGGAGCGAACAGGAUUAGAUACCCUGGUAGUCCACGCCGUAAACGUUGGGCACUAGGUGUGGGACCUUGUCAACGGGUUCCGUGCCGUAGCUAACGCAUUAAGUGCCCCGCCUGGGGAGUACGGCCGCAAGGCUAAAACUCAAAUGAAUUGACGG